rnacentral:rRNA from 1 species
GUUUGAUUAUGGCGUCAGGAUGAACGCUAGCUACAGGCUUAACACGAUGCAAGUCAGGGGCAGCAGGAUCUAGCUUGCUAAGAUUGCUGGCAACCGGCGCACGGGUGAGUAACGCGUAUCCAACUUCCCCUAGUAGGGCAUAGCCCGAUGAAAAUCGGAUUAAAUACCCUAUGUUUUCCAAAUGAGGACAUCUGAGCUGGAACAAAGAUUCAUCGCUAAGGGAUGGGGGAUGCGUCCGAUUAGGAGUCGGCGGGUAACGCCCACCGAGCCAUCGAUCAGUAGGGGUCCUGAGAGGAAGGUCCCCCACAUUGGAACUGAGACACGGUCCAAACUCCUACGGGAGGCAGCAGUGAGGAAUAUUGGUCAAUGGGCGAGAGCCUGAACCAGCCAAGUAGCGUGCAGGAUGACGGCCCUAUGGGUUGUAAACUGCUUUUAUGCGGGGAUAAAGUUCGCCACGUGUGGCGUUUUGUAGGUACCGCAUGAAUAAGGACCGGCUAAUUCCGUGCCAGCCGCAGC